GCCGCUACGGUGGCAGGUGGUGCAGUAUCCUAGUCGGCCGCAGCGUUUUUGAAGGCGGGCCUAAAAAUCCGUCAAAGGGCACAUCGAUGAAGUUCCUGGUGUCGGCUUUCGACGCCCCGUCGGGGGUUGGUGCUGGGAGUUAAGGAAGAUGGGGCGAUCCACAAGGGCAUGUGGGCGUUGACCCCGCUUCCGCGGAGGCCCAAGUGCGUGGUGACCUAUGGCGAGUAGGAAGCUAUGGCUUGGGGUUGAACCUGCAAUUCAUUAUCCUGUUACGGCAGGAUGGUGGGUGCAGUGUAGCCUGCCUUGAGCGGGUGUAGAGGAUGGCGAGCUAUCAGGCCUUUUAACCGAUGGCGCCGAGGUUAAGGGACCUGUCGCCUGAAACUGCAUCUGCAAAAGAGGCUAGAAGACGCCGGCGGUCGCCGAAGAAAUUUCCUAGGCUGCCCACCAGAGAUGGAGUUUGCUGGGGAUUAAAGUGUGGACUAAGUGGUAAUCCAGUCUUGCCGGCGGUGACGCGGCAAAACGAUGGGAAAGGGGAAACCGCCUCAUGCGGCGACGCAGAGGAGCAUCGUCUGGGAAAACCUACUGGACCUGAAGCCACAACGUUUACUCAGCAGACUACCACCUGCCAGUAGUAGCCU
rnacentral:sRNA from 1 species